GUAUCUGAAACCUGACGAGGAUGAGAACCUCCGGGGGCAAGAGGUUCGACCCGAGUGAAGCGAGAGAACGUUGCGUCAGCAACGGCCCGCAGUGGCAAGUCAUCCUCUGUCACCGGCAG
rnacentral:sRNA from 1 species